CAGCAGCCACGGGAAUACGGAGGGGGCUAGCGUUGUUCGGAAUUACUGGGCGUAAAGCGCACGUAGGCGGCUUUGUAAGUUAGAGGUGAAAGCCUGGGGCUCAACUCCAGAAUUGCCUUUAAGACUGCAUCGCUUGAACGUCGGAGAGGUGAGUGGAAUUCCGAGUGUAGAGGUGAAAUUCGUAGAUAUUCGGAAGAACACCAGUGGCGAAGGCGGCUCACUGGACGACUGUUGACGCUGAGGUGCGAAAGCGUGGGGAGCAAACAGGAUUAGAUACCCCCGUAGUCCCUGUCUCUUAUAC
rnacentral:rRNA from 1 species